UCCUGGUCCGGGACGGGCUCCUGGUCCGGGACGGGCUCCUGGUCCGGGAACGGCUCCGGGUCCUGGUCCGGGUCCGGGACCGGGUUC
rnacentral:tRNA from 1 species